rnacentral:rRNA from 1 species
UUAAGCAUAUCAAUAAGCGGAGGAAAAGAAACUAACAAGGAUUCCCCUAGUAACGGCGAGUGAAGCGGGAAGAGCUCAAAUUUGUAAUCUGGCCCUUUCAGGGUCCGAGUUGUAAUCUCGAGAAGUGUUUUCCGCGCCGGACCGCAUACAAGUCUGUUGGAAUACAGCGUCAUAGUGGUGAGAGCCCCGUAAUUGAUGUGGAUGCCCGGUGCUUUGUGAUACACUUUCGAAGAGUCGAGUUGUUUGGGAAUGCAGCUCAAAUUGGGUGGUAAAUUCCAUCUAAAGCUAAAUAUUGGCGAGAGACCGAUAGCGAACAAGUACCGUGAGGGAAAGAUGAAAAGCACUUUGGAAAGAGAGUUAACAGUACGUGAAAUUGUUGGAAGGGAAACGCUUGAAGUCAGACUUGCUAUUCGGAAUUCAGCCGCAAGGUGUACUUUUCGAUUUGCAGGCCAGCAUCAGUUUUUGGGGGUGGAAAAGGGUGGAGAGAAGGUAGCAACCUUGGUUGUGUUAUAGCUCUUUACUGGAUUCAUCUUUGGGGACUGAGGAUCGCAGUGCGCAAUUUACUUUGCAAACCUUUCGAGGUUUUCGUACU